rnacentral:rRNA from 1 species
GUGGGGAAUAUUGCGCAAUGGGGGAAACCCUGACGCAGCGACGCCGCGUGAGCGAAGAAGGCCUUAGGGUUGUAAAGCUCUGUUUUAAGGGACGAAUGUCGUGGGGAGUAAUAUGCUCUGCGAAUGACGGUACCUUAAGAGGAAGCCCCGGCUAACUACGUGCCAGCAGCCGCGGUAAGACGUAGGGGGCGAGCGUUGUCCGGAAUUACUGGGCGUAAAGAGCACGUAGGCGGGAACUUAAGUCAGGUGUGAAAGACCGGGGCUCAACUCCGGGGUUGCACUUGAAACUGGGUUUCUUGAGGGCAGGAGAGGAAAGCAGAAUUCCUGGUGUAGCGGUGAAAUGCGUAGAAAUCAGGAGGAAUACCAGUGGCGAAGGCGGCUUGCUGGGCAGCAACUGACGCUGAGGCGCGAAAGCCAGGGGAGCAAACGGGAUUAGAAACCCUAGUAGUCC